GCUCUCUCCUUUCAGACCUCAAUGAUAGCAUUAGGUUGAUUACAGAAAUGGAAUUAUCCAGCAGGAAGAAUGCAAUUAGUAGUAAAUACUUUCCCCCACAGUACAGACCUGUGCUGUAUGAUACCUUCAUUUCCACGUUUGUCUGCAGUUUCAGAAAACUACCAUCACUUGAGCAACCCAAUACAGGGAUAGGCUGCCAAGCAUAACACUCCAGAAUUGUCUAACUGGGAAAAAUACAAAUUCUUUUGUCCUGCAGAGUGAUUGUGACGUAAGUGGGACAGCUCCCCCCACACGCUUCAGAAAAUACAGAAAUGCGUGCUGCAAUGAGGCGCUCUGUUUGGAGGCGCUGCCUCAUCCCAGUAGCCAAAAGGCAGUCAAACCACAUUGGAUACUUACCAAAAGAAGUCACAGGAACAAACAAAAGAAUUUUAAAAAAUUAAUGCCAGCCAGAAGGUUUUUUUUGGGGGGCAAUGUGGACAUCAAUAACCAAAUAACAGCAAAACAAAAGCACAACAUCCUAUAACAUGAAAUGCUUAAAAGGGGGAGAAGAAUGGCUCGUACUUCCAGAAACAGUUUUCCUGGUGACAUGAGUGGAAGGAAGACCUCAAACUGAUCCCAUUUGUAAUUGCUCCUCUCUGCCUUAACGAUAAACUUCAGUUCUACGUGCCUAGGAAAUACCCAGAAUGACUUGGCGGCUCUUACAGUUACUUCAAUCCUCCACACUAAUCUUCAGAUUCCUUUGGUAAAUCAUUUGAGUUUGUCAUUUGAUAAGUUUUUCCCUCUACUUUUGUUGCUGAAAUCAGAAGCAGUCCUGGAAACAGACCGGGUUAGAAAUAUUACUACACAAAAGAGAGGGAGAUGAAUCCAAGAAGAAACUCAGAUAAGUAAGAGAUCCCCGGUAUGAAUCUAAAAAGAUGACAGUGGUAUGCUUUUGCUUUACUGAUAUUUCACACUUUCAGACUAGAAGCAAUUGUAAAGUUAUCUAGUUACACUACUAAAAUUUCAACCGCUCAGACUGACAUUUUCCAAACCAAACAUCAAUUUUAUUCUGAUGACAUCAAACUGACUACUCGAAGAACAACACUAUGAAAAGCUAAUUUUUGUCUCGAUGGAAAAAAUAUUCUCAAUUAUUAUCACAGAUAUUUUACUGUGAAUUUGUUAUCUUCGUGCUUUGGAAUAAGAAUUGGUAAUUGGAAAUAAUGGCAAUUGGAAAUGAAAUCCCUAAAUUAUGGCAUAUUCAGCACCUUAAAGAAAUUCAGUCGUAGGUUCUGGCAAAUGCUUGCAGAGUAAAUGAAGCAAAAUCUGUCCUGGAGAUUUCUAACGUGCCCAAGUUCUUACGUUUUUUCAGCACGAUGGCAAAAGGCAUAUCCCAGAAAUGGCUUAUGAGACAUUCUGCCAAAAUGAAAUCACCUCGAAGACAAACUCACCAGAAUUUUAAAAGCGUACUUCACAGUAGAGCAACAUAUUUUUCCACAGCCUUUUUUUCUCAUAAAAUUCUAACUAAUUCCAACUCAUUUUCUCAAAGAAAAAAAUCUAGCCAAGGCAGAUGUUUUGGUUUACAGGUUGGAAGUGAUGUCUCCAGAGGUCCCUUUCAUCCUAUACAAUUCUGCAAUUCUGUGAAUAUUUCAGCCUAAUAGUUAAAGUCUAGCAGACUGGUAGAAGAAGUGAAUGGCAACUGGAGAAUGGAGACCUGAUCUCAGAAAUCAUCAGCUGCAGAAGUGACGGAAUCACAUCAGACAAUCAUCCUAUAACCAAAACCAAACCAGACCCAAGUCCUUACUAAGUGCCUUGAACACACAGGAGGCCAAGCAGUGAACAGAAGCUGAGCAAUGGUUUUGACAAGACUAACACUGAAAGGAUACAUACGGAGUAGCUGCCCUCAUUUCUAAGACCCUGUGAAAAGUCUGAGAGUGUGCAGUAAAGGGCCAUGCAAAUCACUUGAAGAUUGAAAAAAAAUCUCUAGAGCCUUAAAGAUCUCAUUCUGUUUAGCUUAUGAAAUUUGUGAAGCAGCAUGAUUUUGCUAUGAAAGCGUCAGAGAGGGAAAAUGCCACAUACUAAAGAGCUCUUGAAUCCAAUGGAGAACUGCUUUAUGAAAAACAAAAGAUGGGAACUGAAGCCAGACAAACCCAGAUUUGGAAAACAAACAACCAAAAAAUUUGAGUGGAAUUAAGGACAACUCUCAAGGCAAGUGAUAGAUUCCCUUAUCCGCAUGUUUUCAAAUUAAGACCAGAGGACUUUCUGAAAAACAAAUGGAAUAUGUGCUCAGAAACAAUCAGUGGGCUUAUUAAAGAAUAAAUGCUUGAAA